rnacentral:rRNA from 1 species
CGGACGGGUGAGUAAUGCCUAGGAAUCUGCCUGGUAGUGGGGGACAACGUUUCGAAAGGAACGCUAAUACCGCAUACGUCCUACGGGAGAAAGCAGGGGACCUUCGGGCCUUGCGCUAUCAGAUGAGCCUAGGUCGGAUUAGCUAGUUGGUGAGGUAAUGGCUCACCAAGGCGACGAUCCGUAACUGGUCUGAGAGGAUGAUCAGUCACACUGGAACUGAGACACGGUCCAGACUCCUACGGGAGGCAGCAGUG